rnacentral:lncRNA from 1 species
AGUCCUACAGACUGGAAGAGAAAGCUCUGGAAUUCUUUCAAGGGAAGCACAGAUCUGAGUGCAGGUCUUGGAAAAAUUGAAAUGAUCGGGACCUAUGCCUCAGGCUCGCGUCACUGCAAAGUAGCCUUUGAAGGACACUUAAAAGAUUCUCACACCGACUUAGAGCAGUCUCGGAGAAUAGCUGUGUAGCUCAACGAACCAGUGAGAGAGGCCUGAGGACUAAGGAGAAAGUGUUUGGAACGUGCUUUCGAGGUUGCCAUUGCUCAGCGCAGGGCACGGCGUGCGCGUAGCGCGGCAAGGGGGACUAAAGGGUGGGAGGCGGCCUUGUCUCCAAUCGCAGCCACCAAAUUGCUGCUCCCUCCCUCCGCUCCCAGCACUGGGCUGGCCCCACGGAGGAGGCUCAUCAGCGGUCCCGGUGGGGUAGGCCCCUCAGGCAGUUCGCUGUGGUCACCUCCCAAGUUCUCCAACUCCCUGACACAUCUGCUUUCCCGAGUGACAAAUUAAAACGUCUGAAGCGGCCGGAGCCCGCUGCCGCCAGCGCACAUGGCCGACAUGUGAAGCUGUGGGAUUCCCGAGUUUUGACGCAUUCCGUUUAGGACACAGGGACAGCAGUAUUUAGCAGUUGACACAAGAGGGGUUUCUACUGCCUGCCAGGCAGCUAAAAGGCUGCAAGAAA